rnacentral:rRNA from 1 species
UACAGAGGGUGCAAGCGUUAAUCGGAAUUACUGGGCGUAAAGCGUGCGUAGACGGUUAUGUAAGUCAGAUGUGAAAGCCCCGGGCUCAACCUGGGAAUUGCAUUUGAGACUGCAUAGCUAGGGUGCGGAAGAGGGAAGCGGAAUUUCCGGUGUAGCGGUGAAAUGCGUAGAUAUCGGAAGGAACACCAGUGGCGAAGGCAGGUUACUGGGCAUUAUCUGACGCUGAGGCGCGAAAGCGUGGGUAGCAAACAGG